rnacentral:rRNA from 1 species
GAUGAACGCUGGCGGCGUGCCUAAUACAUGCAAGUCGAGCGAACAGACGAGGCUCUUGCUCCUCUUACGUUAGCGGCGGACGGGUAAUUAACACGUGGAUAACCUACCUAUAAGACUGACGUCACGUCGGGAACCCUGAGCUAAUACCGGAUAAUAUAUUGAACCGCAUGGUUCAUUAGUGAAAACCGGUUUUGCUGUCACUUGUUGAUGGUUCCGCGCCGCAUUAGCUAGUUGGUAAGGUAACGGCUUACCAAGGCAACGAUGCGUAGCUGACCUGAGAGGGUGAUCGGCCACACUGGAACUGAGACACGGUCCAGACUCCUACGGGAGGCAGCAGUAGGGAAUCUUCCGCAAUGGGCGAAAGCCUGACGGAGCAACGCCGCGUGAGUGAUGAAGGUCUUCGGAUCGUAAAACUCUGUUAUUAGGGAAGAACAAAUGUGUAAGUAACUAUGCACGUCUUGACGGUACCUAAUCAGAAAGCCACGGCUAACUACGUG